AUGGCUACUCCUGCAUCCCGGCGACGUAGCAGCAACCGCGGCGUUCCUCGCGGCGGUGGCGUCUGGAUCCUCUCCAUAGAGCGUGGCCGACCUUCUCAGCCAUUACUUCCGGCGGUGGCGGCCACCGCGACAUCGCGGAGUGGCGGGUGGCGGUGGCGGCGACAGCGGCCCAGAGCCAGCGCGCGGGCGGAGAUUCUUCCCACAGCCGGCGUUUGGAUUCGCGCCAUGGAUCCAUGCCCGACCUUCUCCUCACAGCCUGAGAUCCGCGCCAUCAGGCGGCGUCCGCAUCCAUCGGCGCGGGCGGAGAUGCUUCUGACGGCAGGCUGA
rnacentral:rRNA from 1 species